UACGUAGGGUGCAAGCGUUAAUCGGAAUUACUGGGCGUAAAGCGUGCGCAGGCGGUUCGCUGUGUCCGAUGUGAAAGCCCCGGGCUUAACCUGGGAAUGGCAUUGAGGACUGUGUGGCUUGAGUGCGGCAGAGGGAGGUGGAAUUCCACGUGUAGCAGUGAAAUGCGUAGAGAUGUGGAGGAACACCGAUGGCGAAGGCAGCCUCCUGGGCCGACACUGACGCUGAGGGCACGAAAGCGUGGGGAGCAAACAGG
rnacentral:rRNA from 1 species